UGGCUUAGCGAUAAAGCGCUGGGUUAAGAACCAGGGAUCCCGGGUUCGAAUCCUGG
rnacentral:tRNA from 1 species